rnacentral:rRNA from 1 species
GACGAACGCUGGCGGCGUGCCUAAUACAUGCAAGUAGAACGCUGAAGACUUUAGCUUGCUAAAGUUGGAAGAGUUGCGAACGGGUGAGUAACGCGUAGGUAACCUGCCUACUAGCGGGGGAUAACUAUUGGAAACGAUAGCUAAUACCGCAUAACAGCAUUUAACCCAUGUUAGAUGCUUGAAAGGAGCAAUUGCUUCACUAGUGGAUGGACCUGCGUUGUACUAGCUAGUUGGUGAGGUAACGGCUCACCAAGGCGACGAUACAUAGCCGACCUGAGGGGGUGAUCGGCCACACUGGGACUGAGACACGGCCCAGACUCCUACGGGAGGCAGCAGUAGGGAAUCUUCGGCAAUGGGGGCAACCCUGACCGAGCAACGCCGCGUGAGUGAAGAAGGUUUUCGGAUCGUAAAGCUCUGUUGUAAGAGAAGAACGUGUGUGAGAGUGG